rfam:Yokenella regensburgei ATCC 43003 genomic scaffold Scfld157, whole genome shotgun sequence.
AAUUAUGGUGGGCUGAGCAGGGGCACCGUCAGGUGCGCUGGUUUCAGUGUAGCCGGUAGUUCCAACCCUGUUCAGUCCGCCACCUAC